GAUGAACGCUAGCUACAGGCUUAACACAUGCAAGUCGAGGGGAAACGAUAUUGGAAGCUUGCUUCCGAUAGGCGUCGACCGGCGCACGGGUGAGUAACGCGUAUCCAACCUGCCCACCACUUGGGGAUAACCUUGCGAAAGUAAGACUAAUACCCAAUGACGUCUCUAGAAGACAUCUGAAAGGGAUUAAAGAUUUAUCGGUGAUGGAUGGGGAUGCGUCUGAUUAGCUUGUUGGCGGGGUAACGGCCCACCAAGGCAACGAUCAGUAGGGGUUCUGAGAGGAAGGUCCCCCACAUUGGAACUGAGACACGGUCCAAACUCCUACGGGAGGCAGCAGUGAGGAAUAUUGGUCAAUGGGCGAGAGCCUGAACCAGCCAAGUAGCGUGCAGGAUGACGGCCCUAUGGGUUGUAAACUGCUUUAUAAGGGAAUAAAGUGAGCCUCGUGAGGCUUUUUGCAUGUACCUUAUGAAUAAGGACCGGCUAAUUCCGUG
rnacentral:rRNA from 1 species